UUUUUCUAGCCAAGGACCCUUGUCAUCCAUUAGAGCGGUAAUCAAGAGAUCUUCUCGGACUUCUAUUCAGAGUGAACUUCAUCGAGAUAGAAGGCGCCCAGAGAUCACCAUUGUGGCAGCUGAGCCACUGAGGCCAGCCUCGUGGUUUCCAGGAACCCCACCCCCAGGACUGGGAUUUCCUACAUCAUCUGCAGCAGGCUCUUGGAGGCCUAAUGAGCUGGUUCCUGCUGAGCUCCCACCAUCUUAUGAACAAGUUAUAAAAGAAAUCAACCAAGUUCAAGUUAAUACUACAAAUAAUAAUAAUGCUGCUGCUACUCCAAGGCACACUAUUACUUCUGCAACUCAGACUGACUUUUCAGAAGAAAUAGACAACGAUCUGCCUCAAACACUACAGGCACCUCUCAAGCCUCUUCAGCCUUUCUCAGCAGUCUCGUCUGGCAAUCUUCCAACAAAUGUGGCACCUUUAAUCGUCUUUGAUAUUUCUGAAGAACCGAAUUGUCCAGAAAACCCCAGUGCUACAAGAUGUCCAGUGCC
rnacentral:lncRNA from 1 species